rnacentral:misc_RNA from 1 species
GAUGAAGAACUUAGCGAAAUGCGAUAAGUAAUGUGAAUUGCAGAAUUCAGUGAAUCAUCGAAUCUUUGAACGCACAUUGCGCCCAUUAGUAUUCUAGUGGGCAUGCCUGUUCGAGCGUCAUUUCAACCCUUAAGCCUAGCUUAGUAUUGGGAAUCGACUUUACUGUCGUUCCUCAAAUUCAACGGCGGAUUUAUAGCAAUCUCUGAACGUAGUAAUUUUUUUCCUCGUUUUUGAAAUACUAUAAACCUCAGCCGCUAAACCCCCAAUUUUUCUAUGGUUGACCUCGGAUCAGGUAGGAAUACCCGCUGAACUUAAGCAUAUCAAUAAGCGGAGGA